rnacentral:rRNA from 1 species
UGAGGAAUAUUGGUCAAUGGGCGGGAGCCUGAACCAGCCAAGCCGCGUGAAGGAAGAAGGCGCUAAGCGUCGUAAACUUCUUUUGUCGGGGAACAAAGGUCCGGACGUGUCCGGAUGAGAGUGUACCCGAAGAAAAAGCAUCGGCUAACUCCGUGCCAGCAGCCGCGGUAAUACGGAGGAUGCGAGCGUUAUCCGGAUUUAUUGGGUUUAAAGGGUGCGUAGGCGGUCUGUUAAGUCAGCGGUAAAAGCCCGGGGCUCAACCCGGCGAGCCGUUGAACUGGCGGACUAGAGAGGGCGAGAAGUACGCGGAAUGCGCAGUGUAGCGGUGAAAUGCAUAGAUAUUGCGCAGAACUCCGAUUGCGAAGGCAGCGUACCGGCGCCUUUCUGACGCUGAGGCACGAAAGCGUGGGUAUCGAACAGGAUUAGAUACC